rnacentral:tRNA from 1 species
GAGGGCAUGGCUCAAGCGGUAGAGUGCGUGCUUAGCAUGCAUGAGGUCCUUGGUUCAAUCCCUAAUACUUCCA